ACACAUACCUUCCCAGAUGCUCCAAACAGUCACAUUAGUGCUGACUCUGAAAGAACUUGUCUGCUCAUCCAUCACCUCUAAGAAGAGGAGGAAGAGGAAGGACAUUGAAGUACUGAGGAGGAGAAGGACAGCAUUUGGUGAAGAAGAAAUCAAACUUGACAUUUUUUGGAUAUGUAUCAAGCUGUAGUGACUUUCAUUUCAAGAGGCUGAUAAAAGGAAUUUGAAAGACUGGUACAGCUAACUAAUGACCACUAUGAAAUGAACAUGUUGGCUUAGGAAAAGAUUAUUUGAGCUGCAGCUGGUAGUGCCAUUCUAGAUGCUUUUUAUGGAGAGUACAGAACUCAGCAUAUCUGACCUUUACCUUGAAUCACCUCAGCAGAAAGAAGUGAGCUGCUGCAAGAUUUCCUACCACUGCCCUGGAGUGUUGCAGAAUUCCAGUCCCUUGCUGUAGAAUUCAGGUCAAGUUUCCCAUGGAGUACAAAGAUCCUUGACUAUAAACAGUUCUUGUGA